GAAUUGGAAUGAUGGUGAUGUACAACCUCACCAGAGUACCAAUUGGAGGGCAAGUCUGGUGCCAGCAGCCGCGGUAAUUCCAGCUCCAAUAGCGUAUAUUAAACUUGUUGCAGUUAAAAAGCUCGUAGUUGUAUUUCAGCCUCGCGUUUUUUCCCUCUUUUCGGGUCUUUUCGCUGGCUUUGUUUUUACUUUGAGAAAAUUAGAGUGUUUCAAGCAGACUUUUGUCUUGAAUACUUCAGCAUGGAAUAAUAGAGUAGGACCUUGGUUCUAUUUUGUUGGUUUCGAGCCUUGGUAAUGGUUAAUAGGAACGGUUGGGGGCAUUCGUAUUUAACUGUCAGAGGUGAAAUUCUUAGAUUUGUUAAAGACGAACCACUGCGAAAGCAUUUGCCAAGGACGUUUUCAUUAAUCAAGAACGAAAGUUAGGGGAUCGAAGACGAUCAGAUACCGUCGUAGUCCUAACCAUAAACUA
rnacentral:rRNA from 1 species